GCGCUAUAGUUCAACUGGCAGAGCAUCUGCAUGGUAAGCGGAAUGUCGCCGGUUCGAUUCCGGCUCGGACCGUU
rnacentral:tRNA from 1 species